UUUUACAGUUUAUAUCAUAAGUAUAUCGUAUAUGUGACAAUUUCUUUAAAUUUCAAUGAAUCAGUGGAUUUGUUGUUGAGGUAAUGUGUCAUUUAACUUUAUUAUUGGCCUUUGGGUUCAGUUUACCAGCAUUACAGAUUGCAUAUUUCAGCUAUGAAUUCCAUUUGGUGCUUACUUUAUAUUCAAUCUAGGGUUUAUUAUAUCUCACAGCACACUGACCAGUUUUCUUGGGUCUCCUUUUCUCCACACACAAAUUUC
rnacentral:lncRNA from 1 species